GUGCUUGUUUAAGAAGCAUAUCUAUCAUAAUUGGAAUUGUCCAAAAUUAGCAUGACCCCUAUGCAAGGAUAACAUGCAAAUUUGUGAAUGUUUCUAUAUCGAA
rnacentral:snRNA from 1 species